GUGCCAGCCGCCGCGGUAACACGUAGGAGACAAGCGUUAUCCGGAUUUACUGGGUGUAAAGCGCGUGCAGGCGGUCUGGUAAGUUGGAUGUGAAAGCUCCUGGCUUAACUGGGAGAGGUCGUUCAAUACUGCUGGACUAGAGGAUGGCAGAGGGGAGUGGAAUUCCGAGUGUAGCGGUAAAAUGCAUAGAUAUUCGGAAGAACACCAGUGGCGAAGGCGGCUCUCUGGGCCAUUUCUGACGCUCAGACGCGAAAGCUAGGGUAGCAAACGGGAUUAGAAACCCCCGUAGUCC
rnacentral:rRNA from 1 species